rnacentral:lncRNA from 1 species
AUCGAGCACUGUGAGAACAGGGAAAGGCAGCGGAUCCGGGAGCCAGCGGAUGCCUUUUCCUCUCCUUCCCAAUGCCAUUACCUGCUUCCUGCUGUACCUUAUCUCUCCACAGCCACCUUUGUCCUUGCAGGCUGGUCAGAGCCGGGCAGUUCCAUCUGAGCCCACAGCGAGCAGCCGGGGCUGGAGGGUGUCCCAGGGGAUUGGUAGAAGACAAAGGCUGGGAAGAGACAUUGAGGCCCUUUCGAAGAGCCCGCCCUGUGCUGCGGGGCUGGAGGAGACCCGGGUUGACCCAAAGCUUUGGAGCCCCGCGCUACUGGAAUGUGGCUUUUCCCCUCCUUCAUCCCUAUGGAGCCGUGGGUGAACAACGCGAUGUGGCGCCCAUCAGGCUCCAGGCAGCUGUGGUGUCUGGUGCUGGGUUACACCCUGCCCCGCACUGACUCCGGUGCAGGCGCCGGCACUUACCCCGUUGGGUGAUGCACAACCUUCUCCCGUGCCUCAGUUUCCCCCAGCAUGGAAAAGGUGCUUUGGCAGCGGGACACUGAGCCCUGGUUGUUCCCUUCCUCCCCACGCAAGAGCCCUGCUCUGCCCAGUGCUGGAGGAAGCAGCUGGAGCCGCCUGCACACAGGGAGCAUCCGGCCCUUGCUCAGGCCUCGUGGGACCAAGGUUGUGUAUUUACUCCUUCCCCUUCCCCUCGCUGCUGGGCUGAAUCACGGCCGCUGCAUCACACAGCACCGUUAGGCCGGGGGUCUCCCAAUGAACUGGAGGAGUUUGGCUCCGGGGCUCUCUGCAGCUCUUGUCCACCAGCACAAUGUCCCCACAGGGAACAGCCCCACUGGGGUGUGGAGCGGUGGGGAAGGUGCAAGGACAUGGAUGCUCCGUGGAGGCAGCAGGAGCCCAGGGGAUGCUGCAGCCCAGGGAUGGGGCCGUGGCCCCUGGAUGUGCCCAACUGACUGCGCUGCUGUGUUUCUCCAUGAGCCUGUAGGGACAGGCCAAGGGAAUGGCUUUAACCUGCCAGAGGGGAGACUGAGAUGAGCUCUUAGGCAGAAGCUCUUCUCUGUGAGGGUGCUGAGGCGCUGGCACAGGGUGCCCAGAGAAGCUGUGGCUGCCCCAUCCCUGGCAGUGCUCAAGGCCAGGUUGGACACAGGGGCUUGGAGCACUGCUCCAGUGGAAGGUGUCCCUGCCCGUGGCGGGGUUGGAGCUGGAGGAGCGUUAAGGUCUUUUCCAAUACAAACCAGGCUGGGAUUGCGUGACGUGAGGAGCAGCCCUGGGCGAAGCCCAGCCCUGGUUCAGGAGAGCUUUCCCCAUGGUUUAUGGCAUGGCUUGGAAGGACUUUUCCUCCACAUUCGUGCUCAAAGAUGCUUUGACCUGACAGGCUGAUGUGCUGGGAGCGCACGGCUGCGGCUGCCUUGCUCCAUCCGUCUCCAGUUCCUCC